CCUACGUGAGGCUGCAGUGGGGGAUAUUGCACAAUGGGGGGAACGCUGAUGCAGCGACGCCGCGUGGGUGAAGAAGCGCCUCGGCGCGUAAAGCCCUGUCAGCAGGGAAGAAAAUGACGGUACCUGAAGAAGAAGCCCCGGCUAACUACGUGCCAGCAGCCGCGGUAAUACGGAGGCGGCAAGGGUUAUCCGGAUUUAGUGGGCGUAAAGGGGGCGCAGACGGCGAUGCAAGCCAGGAGUGAAAGCCCGGGGCCCAACCCCGGGACUGCUCUUGGAACUGCGUGGCUGGAGUGCAGGAGGGGUAGGCGGAAUGCCUGGUGUAGCGGUGAAAUGCGUAGAUAUCAGGAGGAACACCGGUGGCGAAGGCGGCCUGCUAAACUACAACUGACGUUGAGGCCCGAAAGCGUGGGGAGCAAACAGGAUUAGAUACCCGAGUAGUC
rnacentral:rRNA from 1 species